rnacentral:rRNA from 1 species
AUUGAACGCUGGCGGCAGGCCUAACACAUGCAAGUCGAGCGGAUGAAGGGAGCUUGCUCCUGGAUUCAGCGGCGGACGGGUGAGUAAUGCCUAGGAAUCUGCCUGGUAGUGGGGGAUAACGUCCGGAAACGGGCGCUAAUACCGCAUACGUCCUGAGGGAGAAAGUGGGGGUUCUUCGGACCUCACGCUAUCAGAUGAGCCUAGGUCGGAUUAGCUAGUUGGUGGGGUAAAGGCCUACCAAGGCGACGAUCCGUAACUGGUCUGAGAGGAUGAUCAGUCACACUGGAACUGAGACACGGUCCAGACUCCUACGGGAGGCAGCAGUGGGGAAUAUUGGACGAUGGGCGAAAGCCUGAUCCAGCCAUGCCGCGUGUGUGAAGAAGGUCUUCGGAUUGUAAAGCACUUUAAGUUGGGAGGAAGGGCAGUAAGUUAAUACCUUGCUGUUUUGACGUUACCAACAGAAUAAGCACCGGCUAACUUCGUG